UCCUGAAAUCAUUGGUGCACUAUAUGCUAACUAAUUGAGAUGUAAAUUUUAAAAAAUAAAAAAAUAAAAAAAAAGAAGUGAUAUUUUGACCCAAUACUUCCAGGGAAUUCAGCAAAUUAAUUGAAACAUCAGUUUUUAGUCAGAGUAUAUCAUAUGGCACACAUUUGUAUCGUAUACCACGUUUGGAUGAGGCCAAAAUGUUUGGCCUUGCAUCCGUAGACUUAUCGGCUUUUCUCUGUUGUCCGUGUGCAUUGCUUCCAUGUUUCUAAAACACUCUUCUGCUUAGUCUUUAUUUUGUCCUGGAGUGUUUUUGUCUGUGCUGUAACAUUACUUUUAAGGCACUUUAAAUGCAGGAUGACCAUGAGCCCAAGCAGGUUGAAAAAGUGAACAGAAUGGUAGAGAAAGAAUGCCUCUUCCAAAGAAUGACUCCCUUUCACCGUUCCUCCGGCAUUGACCGCUGCUAUCGAAUCUUCUUCCAUUGACAAGAGCAGGAAAGUUUCAGGAUCUGACAUUGAAUAAUGCUGCAGCAAGCAUGUACACGCAAAUAUCUCCUCAAGAUCUUUUUUCCAUUAUUUUGGGCAUAUAACCAGAAGUGGGACUGCUGGAUCAUAUGACCUGCGCGGGAAUUUUUCUCGGUGGGAUUGCUCAGUGAUGGGCCAUCCACAUAGUUAGUUUUACGACGGGUUGCCAAAUUGCUUUCAAGGUGCAUGUCCUCAGCCAAGAUUCAUCGAGCACGAACCUCCUGCCAGGUGCUAUUCUAUCCACAGAGGAUUUAGCCGUGAACGGAGUCCUUGCCUUCAGCGAGCUUACGGUCAAAUGAGGGAGACAGCAAUGAACUCUUAAGUGCACAAUGAAAAACCACGCAGUGAAAAGUGCCGUGAAGACACUGAAACGGGUUUUGUGAACAGCUCUGGGGACCUGAUGGCCGUCAUCCAUCUUCCUCACCAUUAGAAAGCGCACCCACAGUAUGGUCCCUGCAGAAGGGGGAGCUUCCUCAAGGACUGAGGAGGCACUCAGAAAAUAAGCUGGACCAACGUGCAUCCUUUGCUUCCCGGGAGCUUAAAGAGAACAGCAUUUUGGCGAGGUGUUCGAGCUAAAUGCCCAAACGAUCAGCUAAUUACUUGGGUCUGAGCACAGCUGAACAAAUCCACCUUUCCAAGUCACCGCCAGAAGUUCGAGCAACUUCAUUCUGGCUGGAUUUCAGCACUGCACACCAAGAACCAGAUGACCGGGGCCAGGAGGGACAUUUCUCACUUACCUGCUUCCUUCUGUUAAAGAAAAAAAAAAAAAAUACUACAGUGUAAUCAGUUCUCCUGCCUACCGAUCUGGUGAGGGAUGGAGACAAUAUGAAGCACAUUCGGCCUCACUAGAAAUCACAACCAUGCAAUUAUAAACAGAAAUGAGAGACCGCUCUUUAUCCGCCAGGCUGGCAAGCGUUAAAAAGAUAGAAGGAUCAACGAUAUCUAGAGUUGGGGAGAGCAGGGGGAAUUGGGGACCGCUGGACACUCUCGGUGGGAGUUUUCAUUGGCAAAGCCAUUUCGGAGGCAAUUUGGCAGCUUCCAGCGACAUUUAAAACGGUCCUAGUCUUUGGCCCGGCAAAGUCCUCUUCUAAGCCAGCCUGAGAAACUACCUUGUAGAUAUGUCUGCACAUGUGUACCCAGAUAUAUACAUAUCUAGCUAUAGCUAGCUAGCUAGCUAGAGUGAAGAAUGCAAUCAAUCUAAAUGCCCAUCCAUAGGAGUGUUGUUAAAUAAAUAAAUCAUGGCAUGCCUGUA